CAGCUCGUGUCGUGAGAUGUUGGGUUAAGUCCCGUAACGAGCGCAACCCUUGUCCUUAGUUGCCAGCACAUAAUGGUGGGAACUCUAGGGAGACUGCCGGUGACAAACCGGAGGAAGGUGGGGACGACGUCAAGUCAUCAUGNNCCUUACGGCCUGGGCUACACACGUGCUACAAUGGAACGCACAGAGGGCUGCAACCUCGCGAGAGUGAGCGAAUCCCACAAAACGUUUCGUAGUCCGGAUUGGAGUCUGCAACUCGACUCCAUGAAGUCGGAAUCGCUAGUAAUCGUGAAUCAGAAUGUCACGG
rnacentral:rRNA from 1 species